rnacentral:rRNA from 1 species
CCUACGGGAGGCAGCAGUAAGGAAUAUUGGUCAAUGGACGAAAGUCUGAACCAGCCAUGCCGCGUGAAGGAUGAAGGCCCUCUGGGUUGUAAACUUCUUUUAUAGGGGACGAAAAAAGGGCAUUCUUGCUCACUUGACGGUACCCUAGGAAUAAGCACCGGCUAACUCCGUGCCAGCAGCCGCGGUAAUACGGAGGGUGCAAGCGUUAUCCGGAUUUACUGGGUUUAAAGGGUGCGUAGGUGGGUUGGUAAGUCAGCGGUGAAAUCUUCGAGCUUAACUCGGAAACUGCCAUUGAUACUAUCAAUCUUGAAUCAUCUAGAGGUAAGCGGAAUAUGUCAUGUAGCGGUGAAAUGCUUAGAUAUGACAUAGAACACCAAUUGCGAAGGCAGCUUACUAUGGAUGUAUUGACACUGAGGCACGAAAGCGUGGGGAUCAAACAGGAUUAGAUACCCUGGUAGUCCGCGCCCUAAACUAUGGAUACUCGACAUUUGCGAUAUACUGUAAGUGUNUGNGNGAAGANAUAAGUAUACCACCGCGGAGUAAGUAGUGNGAGAGUUAGUUAAGUUAAUUAGAGUUAGNGNGNGAGAGNGCGAGACGACGACGAGGAGGAGG